AACGCACCUUGCGCUCCUUGGUAUUCCGAGGAGCAUGCCUGUUUGAGUGUCAUUAAAUCCUCAACCCCGAUCGAUUUGUUUCGACCUCGGGGCUUGGACUUGGAGCGUGCUGGCGUGAGUCGGCUCCUCUCAAAUUGAUCGGCGGAAUUCAAUCCUUGGCUUGCGGACGUCAGUGUGAUAAUCACGUUGCGCUGUCGUUUGAGCCGUAAGGGUCCGCUUACAAUGGUCUUCGGACAACCUCAUUUAAAUUUGACCUCAAAUCAGGUAGGACUACCCGCUGAACUUAA
rnacentral:misc_RNA from 1 species